rnacentral:siRNA from 1 species
GGUCGAGUGAAUACUCGAGGUC